rnacentral:tRNA from 1 species
AUUUUUUAUCAUCGUGAUAAAAAACUCGCCGGGAUAGCUCAGU